rnacentral:rRNA from 1 species
GACGAACGCUGGCGGCGUGCUUAACACAUGCAAGUCGAACGGAAGGGCGCUACGCUUGUUGCGUGCUUGAUAGCCGAACACGUGAGUGAAACACGAGUAAACCCUCCCUGUCAUUGGGAUAUCUUCACGAAAAUCGGGCUCAUACCCGAUAGGAGCUCCUGCUGCGCGGGGUUGGAUGGAAAGUUUCGGCCGUGCGGUAUGUACUAGAUGCUUCUGGGCUGCAUUAGCUAGUUGGUAAGGUAACGGCUUACCAAGGCAACGAUGCAUAGCCGACCUGAGAGGGUGAUCGGCCACACUGGAACUGAGACACGGUCCAGACUCCUACGGGAGGCAGCAGUAGGGAAUCUUCCGCAAUGGGCGAAAGCCUGACGGAGCAACGCCGCGUGAGUGAUGAAGGUCUUCGGAUCGUAAAACUCUGUUAUUAGGGAAGAACAUAUGUGUAAGUAACUGUGCACAUCUUGACGGUACCUAAUCAGAAAGCCACGGCUAACUACGUG